AAACUGCUCAGUAACACAUGAUCAACUUACCCUAUAAAGAAAAAUAACCUCGGGAAACUGAGGAUAAUGUUUCAUAGUUGAAUUGGCUUGGAAAAGUUUUUCGACGAAAGGGGUAAAAAAAAUGGUUUUUAUCUGCUAUAGGAUAGGAUCGUGUUCGAUUAUGGCUGUUGGUGAGGUAAUGGCUCACCAAGCCGAUAAUCGAUAGGGGCCGUGAGAGCGGGAGCCCCGAGAUGGGUACUGAAACAACGACCCAGGCCUUACGAGGCGCAGCAGGCGCGAAACCUCCGCAAUACACGAAAGUGUGACGGGGUUACCCAAAGUGUUCAAUUUUGAACUGUGGUAGGUGAGUAAUGUUCCCUACUAAAAAGGAGAGGGCAAGGCUGGUGCCAGCCGCCGCGGUAAAACCAGCUCUUCAAGUGGUCGGGAUAAUUAUUGGGCUUAAAGUGUCCGUAGCCGGUUUAGUAAGUUCCUGGUAAAAUCGGGUAGCUUAACUAUCUAUAUGCUAGGAAUACUACUAUACUAGAGGGCGGGAGAGGUCUGAGGUACUGCAGGGGUAGGGGUGAAAUCUUAUAAUCCUUGUUGGACCACCAGUGGCGAAGGCGUCAGACUGGAACCCCCCUGACGGUGAGGGACGAAAGCCAGGGGAGCGAACCGGAUUAGAUACCCGGGUAGUCCUGGCCGUAAACGAUGCAUACUAGGUGAUGGCACGGCCAUGAGCCGUGUCAGUGCCGUAGGGAAACCGUUAAGCGUGCCGCCUGGGAAGUACGGUCGCAAGGCUAAAACUUAAAGGAAUUGGCGGGGGAGCACCACAAGGGGUGAAGCCUGCGGUUCAAUUGGACUCAACGCCGGAAAACUUACCAGGGGAGACAGCAGUAUGACGGUCAGGUUGACGACCUUACCUAACGAGCCGAGAGGAGGUGCAUGGCCGUCGCCAGUUCGUGCCGUGAGGUAUCCUGUUAAGUCAGGCAACGAACGAGAUCCGCACCUUUAUUUGCCACCAAGAAGUCACGACCUCGUUGGGAACACUAAAGGGACCGCCGUUGAUAAGACGGAGGAAGGAGCAGGCAAAGGCAGGUCAGUAUGCCCCGAAACCCCUGGGCUACACGCGGGCUGCAAUGGUAUGAACAAUGGGCUGUGACUCCGAAAGGAAAACCAAUCCCGAAAUCAUAUCUCAGUUGGAAUUGUCGGCUGUAACCGCCGACAUGACGCGAAUCCUAGU
rnacentral:rRNA from 1 species